UUUAUACGACCACGUUGACUAGAUAUACUAUAUCCCACGGAAGCAGAAGUUAGAUUGUAUCUGGGGACUUCAUGAUACGUUACAGAUCCAUGACCAUAGGCGGCCUGAGAUUUCGGAAUUGAAGUGGCACUAAUAUCCUCAUCCAUAUUUUCCUGUUGUAAAGAAUCAUUGAUAAUAGUAGAAAUCUCAGGUUCUGAAUUACGGGAAGAUUGAAGGUAUAACUCAUCAUAGUCUUUACCGUUGGUGGGAAGGGAAAGCUCAGAGAAAUCAUAAACUUUCCUAAGUGUACUAGCAUAGGAAGAUCCACUGGAAAUCCGUUUUGCUUCCAUCUUGGCCAAAACCUUUUUACGAAGACUUUCUGUAGAGAUAUCUGAG